UGAGGAAUAUUGGUCAAUGGGCGCAAGCCCGAACCAGCCAUCCCGCGUGAAGGAAGAAGGCCCUACGGGUUGUAAACUUCUUUUCUGUUUGAAGAAUAAGCUUGUCGAGACAAGUGAUGCCGGUAGGACAGGAAUAAGCAUCGGUUAACUCCGUGCCAGCAGCCGCGGUAAUACGGAGGAUGCAAGCGUUAUCCGGAUUUAUUGGGUUUAAAGGGUGCGCAGGUGGUUGAAUAAGUCAGUGGUGAAAGUCUGGCGCUUAACGUUAGGAUUGCCAUUGAUACUGUUUGACUUGAAUAUGGAUGAGGUAGGCGGAAUGUGUAGUGUAGCGGUGAAAUGCUUAGAUAUUACACAGAACAUCGAUUGCGAAGGCAGCUUACUAAUCCAUUAUUGACGCUGAGGCACGAAAGCGUGGGGAUCAAACAG
rnacentral:rRNA from 1 species